rnacentral:rRNA from 1 species
CCUACGGGUGGCUGCAGUGGGGAAUAUUGCACAAUGGGGGAAACCCUGAUGCAGCAACGCCGCGUGAAGGAAGACGGUUUUCGGAUUGUAAACUUCUGUUCUUAGUGAAGAAUAAUGACGGUAGCUAAGGAGCAAGCCACGGCUAACUACGUGCCAGCAGCCGCGGUAAUACGUAGGUGGCAAGCGUUGUCCGGAAUUACUGGGUGUAAAGGGGGCGCAGACGGCGAUGCAAGCCAGGAGUGAAAGCCCGGGGCCCAACCCCGGGACUGCUCUUGGAACUGCGUGGCUGGAGUGCAGGAGGGGCAGGCGGAAUUCCUGGUGUAGCGGUGAAAUGCGUAGAUAUCAGGAGGAACACCGGUGGCGAAGGCGGCCUGCUGGACUGCAACUGACGUUGAGGCCCGAAAGCGUGGGGAGCAAACAGGAUUAGAUACCCCAGUAGUC